GCCUGCCUAGGCGGCGGCGGCAGUGCGCAGGGACGACCAGGACGGCGUCGGGGCUUCGCCGGAGGUCGGGCAUGGCCAGGGGAAGGGGGCCCGAGGGUGAUGAUCUCCCAGGUGGUCCACGGCAGGGAUGGAGAGGUGGAUAGAUGGAUGUUGAGAGAGAGAAAGAUGGAGGGGGUGGCCGGGUUCAAGUUUUCCGGCGGCCGGGGCACCUGCCGGCGGCCGGGGUGCGAGCAUGGUUAGGGCAGAGCUACUCUGAGGUCGGCUAGGGCACAGAGGUCGAGUAGAUCUAGGGUUUCGUGCAUAGAAACCCUAGAUGCACAUGUAUACAAGGUGCAAUUUUGCACAAAAGUCCACCGAAACUACAAAUUUCAAACCAAGUCUCUCACAAUGGGUAACUCUCGCGCAUUUACACCUCCACAAUCGAUCUCGCGCGAUUCGGUACAUAAAAUAUUACGACUUUUGCAACUUUCCCGAUUUUCCACUCUCGACCCCUAAGCGAACAACAUGCAAUAUCCGGCAAUCCGUUCAUCGGAUUUGAAAUCCGUCAGUGCCAUUGGUUCCAGAAUAGCUGAACCGAUCGAAACGAGCUAUUGGAUUGCUAUGAACGGAGUCCGAUACGCGCCGAAAGCCAACUCUACUCCGUGGCUUCUCCGGAAAAUCGGAGUUACUAUUCACUUAAGUGAAAACUAAUAAUUGCGUAACUUCUCCGUUCUAGCUCAUUUUCUCCUGAAACUUGACGAGUACUUAUGUAAUUAAAUUACACACAUAAACAUCAUCAACAGAGAGUUUAGUUGCACUGUAAAAAAAUCUCAGUCCUUACAUCAUCCCCCCCUUAAAAGAAGUUUCGUCCCCGAAACUUGACCACGUACCCACCGUAAUCAAACUCUGACAUUGCUCCACCAAUGCGGUAACACCUUUGGAUACUGGUCAGUCACAAUUCUAGAAUUGGACAGAUCAACCUCUGAAAAGGAGAGAAUAGGACUGCGGUUUCACAAAAACAAGACGAGGGAAACGUACCAAACCAAAGUCUACGGACCAAAACUCAUCGGAAUGAAUACCAUCCUAUAACUUGCGGAC
rnacentral:lncRNA from 1 species